UACGUAGGGGGCAAGCGUUGUCCGGAUUUAUUGGGCGUAAAGAGCGUGUAGGCGGCCUUACAGGUCAGCUGUGAAAACUCGAGGCUCAACCUCGAGACGCCGAUGGAAACCAUCUGACUAGAGUCCGGAAGAGGAGAGUGGAAUUCCUGGUGUAGCGGUGAAAUGCGCAGAUAUCAGGAAGAACACCCGUGGCUAAGGCGGCUCUCUAGUACGGUACUGACGCUGAGACGCGAAAGCGUGGGGAGCGAACAGG
rnacentral:rRNA from 1 species